rnacentral:rRNA from 1 species
CUAUCAUGCAAGUCGAGCGGACAGAUGGGAGCUUGCUCCCUGAUGUUAGCGGCGGACGGGUGAGUAACACGUGGGUAACCUGCCUGUAAGACUGGGAUAACUCCGGGAAACCGGGGCUAAUACCGGAUGGUUGUUUGAACCGCAUGGUUCAAACAUAAAAGGUGGCUUCGGCUACCACUUACAGAUGGACCCGCGGCGCAUUAGCUAGUUGGUGAGGUAACGGCUCACCAAGGCGACGAUGCGUAGCCGACCUGAGAGGGUGAUCGGCCACACUGGGACUGAGACACGGCCCAGACUCCUACGGGAGGCAGCAGUAGGGAAUCUUCCGCAAUGGACGAAAGUCUGACGGAGCAACGCCGCGUGAGUGAUGAAGGUUUUCGGAUCGUAAAGCUCUGUUGUUAGGGAAGAACAAGUACCGUUCGAAUAGGGCGGUACCUUGACGGUACCUAACCAGAAAGCCACGGCUAACUACGUGCCAGCAGCCGCGGUAAUACGUAGGUGGCAAGCGUUGUCCGGAAUUAUUGGGCGUAAAGGGCUCGCAGGCGGUUUCUUAAGUCUGAUGUGAAAGCCCCCGGCUCAACCGGGGAGGGUCAUUGGAAACUGGGGAACUUGAGUGCAGAAGAGGAGAGUGGAAUUCCACGUGUAGCGGUGAAAUGCGUAGAGAUGUGGAGGAACACCAGUGGCGAAGGCGACUCUCUGGUCUGUAACUGACGCUGAGGAGCGAAAGCGUGGGGAGCGAACAGGAUUAGAUACCCUGGUAGUCCACGCCGUAAACGAUGAGUGCUAAGUGUUAGGGGGUUUCCGCCCCUUAGUGCUGCAGCUAACGCAUUAAGCACUCCGCCUGGGGAGUACGGUCGCAAGACUGAAACUCAAAGGAAUUGACGGGGGCCCGCACAAGCGGUGGAGCAUGUGCGUUUAAUUCGAAGCAACGCGAAGAACCUUACCAGGUCUUGACAUCCUCUGACAAUCCUAGAGAUAGGACGUCCCCUUCGGGGGCAGAGUGACAGGUGGUGCAUGGUUGUCGUCAGCUCGUGUCGUGAGAUGUUGGGUUAAGUCCCGCAACGAGCGCAACCCUUGAUCUUAGUUGCCAGCAUUCAGUUGGGCACUCUAAGGUGACUGCCGGUGACAAACCGGAGGAAGGUGGGGAUGACGUCAAAUCAUCAUGCCCCUUAUGACCUGGGCUACACACGUGCUACAAUGGACAGAACAAAGGGCAGCGAAACCGCGAGGUUAAGCCAAUCCCACAAAUCUGUUCUCAGUUCGGAUCGCAGUCUGCAACUCGACUGCGUGAAGCUGGAAUCGCUAGUAAUCGCGGAUCAGCAUGCCGCGGUGAAUACGUUCCCGGGCCUUGUACACACCGCCCGUCACACCACGAGAGUUUGUAACACCCGAAGUCGGUGAGGUAACCUUUUAGGAGCCAGCCGCCGAAGUGACA